UCUUCUCCACAACAUCUUUGUAAGACUGUCAUUCCAGGAGAGGGCACUCACCAGCUGCGGGGCAUUACCGAUCAGCGGCAGCUGCAGAUCCUCUAAUCAACCGCAGCAGAGCUCUAUUUAAGAGGAGAGGGAACCACUUCACAUCGCUGGAUGAUUAACUACUCACGGAUACUUGGAAUCGCUGAACCACUGAUGGAUGUACCUACCUGGAAGUCACCAUAACCCGCCUGGAUUACACACUCAAGGUUCACCUCUCCUCCUUCUUCACUUGCCCUCUGCCGCCAUCAUCUGGCUCCCUCUCCUGGACGCACCCCGUCACACCGUCUGCCCUCCCUGCUGGCUUUUGGACUCUUGCCGACUACUUCACACUUGGAUAUCUCCAGGACACUUUUAGUUAGGGUUAAUAAAUCAUUGUUUGAACUUUC